rnacentral:lncRNA from 1 species
CCCAUUCUGCUUCUUCGAGAGAACUCCUAACAAACUAAGAUCUACCUGCAGCAUGUUGACAGGAUGAGGAAACAAAGACCAAAAAAUAAGAGAAAGGUGAGCUUACGAGGACAAUCACACAUGAUGGCCUUGAUUAACCACUCCACCAUACACAACCAAAUCAUGAUUCAUCCUACAUGACGAGUGGCAACACGAUAGGUAUUUUCUUUCCCUUAUAUUAACCACUUGUUUUAUUUUCUUUUUUUAAUCAGCAAAGCUACUUCUAUUCUAUACACCUAUAUUAUUUAUGUUAAGUAAUGGGUUGUUCAAACAUGAUGUGUGGUCGCAGGGUCCAUUUCCCUAUUGCAUACGGUCUACAUGUGUCAAGUACAUGUUUUAUAUCCUGCCGCAAUAGAUAUUUGGAAUACGUGACUAUCACUAACGUUGCUACGCUGGCAGCUUAGUCUAAUAAAUUUGAUUAUCCUUCACUGUGCUACUAAGUGUACCAACAAUCAACUUCUCAUAUAAGCUCCAAACUACUGCACAAUUCUAAAAUUAAUUGCAAGUCAUUUUAGUUUUGUCCCAAGCUAAACUUCUUCUGUUUUAACUAAGCUUAUAGAAAAGUCUAUCAACAUCUGCAAUAUCAAAUAAGUGUGCUACCAAAAUAGAUUUUAUUGUGUGUUUAAUGAAUCUUGUUUGUUGUUGUAGUUGUCGGCUUAUUUUUCUAUAAACUUGGUAAAAGCUAGGGAAGCUGAAUUAUGAGAAUGCCAAAACUAUUUACAAUUUGAAAUAGAGGGAGUAGGCUGUUUUAGUUGGUCUAAGUCAAUUUUUUUAACUUUCCCAAUGUUUAUAUAAGAAUAAAUUAAUAUCCACAAUAUAUACCAAAUGACCCCGCUAUCAAAACAUAUUUCAUAGUCAAUCAAUCGAAAUUAAUUUAGUUUUGCAUUAUUAUAAAUUUCAUCAAAUUUAGAGAGACUUACAUAAAAAUUGGGAACAAAUGAUAAUGUAUUCUUUAAAAUAAAGGAGGAGAUAGAUUAAGGUCCAUUUGGCAUGACUUCUCUACCGACUUCAGGAGCUGUUUGGAGCUAUUUUCUGCCAAACGGGUAAAAGAAAAUAGAUUUACCCAGGAAACCCCUUAAAUCGUACUCUCAUAGAUGUUUGAGGUAGGAUGAAGUAAAAAAUAUUGGCUUCACCCGACUUCAUCUCAUCCUAGACCCUGCAUAGUAUUCUAUGAGAGCAUAUUUUAAAGAGCUCUACAUAUGGAAUUGUUUUACCAAACGGUAUGGUUUAACAAAACGGCUCCAACUCCACAGAUGGAGCUGAAGUAAAAAUAAAAAAAAAAGUUUCAAUUGUGAAGUGAAUCUAUGCCAAACCCCAAAUGAGAAAUCAAGCCCCAUGUAAGAAUAUUAGCUUUAGAAUCAAUAAUAGAAUUUCAACCUUAUUCUAGAGAAAAUCUAGCUAAUGCUAGGUUUUUUAGAAAUUAAAAUAGCAUUUCCACUUUUUUCUUCUUGAAUGCAAGUCUUAACAAAAUAAUGCCUACAUCACGACCUAUAUGACAUAUGAGGGCGUGUGCAGUGUUGAGAAAUAGUGAAAUAUUUUUUACCCUACUUUGAGUAAAAAAUAUUGCUUUACCCUACUGUAAAUGCAUUUAGACAUAGAGAGGGUAAUUGGAACGAGAGUAUUGAAGUUUGGAUGUAUGAGUGUAUUUGUUUUUCUUUUUAGGAAUGUGAGUUUCGGUGAGACAGGAAAUUAGAGUUUAGAGGGCAAACUGAUCAAGCCCC